GACGAACGCUGGCGGCGUGCCUAAUACAUGCAAGUAGAACGCACAGUUUAUACCGUAGCUUGCUACACCAUAGACUGUGAGUUGCGAACGGGUGAGUAACGCGUAGGUAACCUGCCUGGUAGCGGGGGAUAACUAUUGGAAACGAUAGCUAAUACCGCAUAAUUUUGAUUAUUGCAUGAUAAUUGAUUGAAAGAUGCUAUUGCAUCACUACCAGAUGGACCUGCGUUGUAUUAGCUAGUAGGUGAGGUAACGGCUCACCUAGGCGACGAUACAUAGCCGACCUGAGAGGGUGAUCGGCCACACUGGGACUGAGACACGGCCCAGACUCCUACGGGAGGCAGCAGUAGGGAAUCUUCGGCAAUGGACGAAAGUCUGACCGAGCAACGCCGCGUGAGUGAAGAAGGUUUUCGGAUCGUAAAGCUCUGUUGUAAGAGAAGAACGGGUGUGAGAGUGGAAAGUUCACACUGUGACGGUAUCUUACCAGAAAGGGACGGCUAACUACGUG
rnacentral:rRNA from 1 species